rnacentral:rRNA from 1 species
UAGGGAAUAUUGGACAAUGGGCGAAAGCCUGAUCCAGCAACGCCGCGUGCGCGAUGACGGCCUUCGGGUUGUAAAGCGCUUUUAGAGGAGAUGAGAAAGGACAGUAUCCUCUGAAUAAGCCUCGGCGAACUACGUGCCAGCAGCCGCGGUAAAACGUAGGAGGCUAGCGUUAUCCGGAUUUAUUGGGCGUAAAGCGCGUGCAGGCGGUCUGGUAAGUUGGAUGUGAAAGCUCCUGGCUUAACUGGGAGAGGUCGUUCAAUACUGUCAGACUAGAGAAUGGGAGAGGGAGGUGGAAUUCCGGGUGUAGUGGUGAAAUGCGUAGAUAUCCGGAGGAACACCAGUGGCGAAAGCGGCCUCCUGGACCACUUCUGACGCUAAGACGCGAAAGCUAGGGUAGCAAACG